rnacentral:rRNA from 1 species
GAUGAACGCUGGCGGCGUGCCUAAUACAUGCAAGUCGAGCGAAUGGAUUAAGAGCUUGCUCUUAUGAAGUUAGCGGCGGACGGGUGAGUAACACGUGGGUAACCUGCCCAUAAGACUGGGAUAACUCCGGGAAACCGGGGCUAAUACCGGAUAACAUUUUGAACCGCAUGGUUCGAAAUUGAUAGGCGGCUGCGGCUGUCACUUAUGGAUGGACACGAGGCGCAUUAGCAAGUUGGUGAGGUAACGGCUCACAAAGGCAAAGAUGCGUAGCCGACCUGAGAGGGUGAUCGGCCACACUGGGACUGGGACACGGCCCAGACUCCUACGGGAGGCAGCAGUAGGGAAUCUUCCGCAAUGGACGAAAGUCUGACGGAGCAACGCCGCGUGAGUGAUGAAGGCUUUCGGGUCGUAAAACUCUGUUGUUAGGGAAGAACAAGUGCUAGUUGAAUAAGCUGGCACCUUGACGGUACCUAACCAGAAAGCCACGGCUAACUACGUGCCAGCCGCCGCCGUAA